GGUCUCUCUAUGCAGUUCAGGUUGGCCUUGAGCUCACUCUGUAGCCCAGGCUGGUCUCGAACUCACAACAAUCCUCCUACCUCAGCCUCCCGAGUGCUGGGAAUACAGGCAUGAGCCACCAUGCCC
rnacentral:miRNA from 1 species